rnacentral:rRNA from 1 species
GACGAACGCUGGCGGCGUGCUUAACACAUGCCAGUCGAACGGAAAGGCCCUGCUUUUGUGGGGUGCUCGAGUGGCGAACGGGUGAGUAACACGUGAGUAACCUGCCCUUGACUUUGGGAUAACUUCAGGAAACUGGGGCUAAUACCGGAUAGGAGCUCCUGCUGCAUGGUGGGGGUUGGAAAGUUUCGGCGGUUGGGGAUGGACUCGCGGCUUAUCAGCUUGUUGGUGGGGUAGUGGCUUACCAAGGCUUUGACGGGUAGCCGGCCUGAGAGGGUGACCGGCCACAUUGGGACUGAGAUACGACCCAGACUCCUACGGGAGGCAGGAGUGGGGAAUAUUGCAAAAUGGGCGGAAGCCUGAUGCAGCAACGCCGCGUGCGGGAUGACGGCCUUCGGGGUGUAAACCGCUUUCGCCUGGGACGAAGCGUGAGUGACGGUAAUGGGUAAAGAAGCACCGGCUAACUACGUG